rnacentral:lncRNA from 13 species
AUGAGAUCACGGUGUGCCGCACCGGGCUCGGGGAUGGACCCUUUAUUUCCAGUCACAGUUGAGGGAGGUGUUUUGUGCAUCACAGGCUCCUGCCCACGCCGCCACAGCGCUGCCGGCCCAGGGCUCUCCAGAGCGGAGCAAGGUCCCUGUCAUCUGUCUCCGCCCCUCCUUCCCCAAUUCCACCCUGGCUGGCCUCAUCGGCUUUUUCCGCACCCACUCCCCAGCCCUAGAGCCCCUUCUCCGCCCGGACAAGUGCCCCACCCCCACCUGGAGACCCCGCCCCUUCUUGCCCCACCCACAGUCCCGACCCUCAGUAUCCGGGCUUUUCCAACCAACACCAAGCGCCCUGGCUCCUCCCACCAGCCCCGCCCCUGUCAGAGCCCUGCCCUAUCUGGCUCACCCAGCUCCGAAACGCGCCUCCCCGCCCCCGCUGCUACAGGCGCUGCCAUUCCCAUUUCACAGAUGAGAAUGGCGAGGCUGGGACAGAUUAGUCUUAUGGUAAGACAGGUGCUCAGUGGGCCCACGUCCCCUCGCUGGCAGUCCCUGAGCCCCGAGCCCGAACCCCGAGCCCCGCGCCCCCGUCCGCACCGCACCCACCUCCUGCCCUCGCUCUGCAGCCUCCCCUCCGCGGGCGGCCAGCGCAGCUCUGAGAGAGGGGCGGAGGGUCGGAGCCCAGCCCAGGGGCGUGGCGGUCCGGGGUCCGCGCGCUGCCCUCCGGGACUGGUAGUUCUCUCUGGGCUCCUCGCGGCUCGGUGCGCUGAGAGCGAACUCCAUCUCCCAGAAGGCAUUGCGGCGAGUAGCUUGGCGUCCCGCCCCGUCCUCGCCGGUGUCCGGCCGGCUGGCCUUAAAGGGGACGCGGUCCGAGCACCAGCUCGCGGGGUGGCCCCCGCUCCGACUCCACCUCCUUUCCCGCACCUCGCCCCUCCUCCCGCUUCGUCCCGCAUCCCCGGGGCCGCACCGCAGAGUCGGGCUCCCUGGAUACAUACAGGCUUGUGCCAGGCGGGGUAG